rnacentral:ncRNA from 1 species
UUGCUAGGGGUGCCAAUUUGGCUGAGAGGGAGUAAAAUCCUAACCCUUGUAACCUGAUAUGGAUAAUGCCAUCGGAGGGAAGCAAUAUUA